rnacentral:rRNA from 1 species
AAACUUGAGAGUUUGAUCCUGGCUCAGAACGAACGCUGGCGGCAGGUCUUAGGCAUGCAAGUCGAACGGGUGAAACAGGGCUUGCCCUGUGGAUCUAGUGGCGCACGAGUGAGUAACGCGUGGGAAACUGCCCAUUACUGGGGAAUAACGUUUGGAAACGAACGCUAAUACCGCAUACGCCGGAAACGGGAAAGAUUUAUCGGUGAUGGAUGUGCCCGCGUUGGAUUAGCUUGUUGGUGGGGUAACGGCCUACCAAGGCAAUGAUCCAUAGCUGGUCUGAGAGG